rnacentral:rRNA from 1 species
CGCGUAGGCGGCCAGGCAAGUCAGUAGUGGAAGUCCAGCUUUCAAGGUUGGAAGUGCUAUUGAAACUGCAGGGCUUGAGUGCAGGAGAGGUUAUCGGAAUUCCCGGUGUAGCGGUGAAAUGCGUAGAGAUCGGGAGGAACACCAGUGGCGAAGGCGGGUAACUGGACUGCAACUGACGCUGAGGCGCGAAAGUGUGGGGGGCAAACAG